GAUGUAAUCAGCGUAAUGGAGAGGCUAGUUCUAAUCAGGACUCAAGAGGAGUCAUUUGUUAUUAUUGCCAUGAGCCUGGCCAUACAAAAUAUAAUUGUCCGCAACUUCAGAGGAAAAAUCAGCAAUCACAGAUGGCAAAUAUGGCAGCAGAGAAUUCUACAGUAUCUUCCUCUGAGAAAACUAUUUUAGUAUCUGCAGAGGAUUUUGCACAAUUUUCCCAGUAUCAGGCAUCUCUAAAGCCUACCAGUUCCCCUGUCACUGCGAUCGCUGAGUCAGGAUCUUACGACGAAGCAGAUUAUUGGUAGAGGACGCGAGUCAGGUGGUCUCUACAUUCUGGAAAAUCAUGUACCGCGGUCGCUUGUUUGCUCCAGUACCUUAACACCUCUUGAAGCUCAUUGUAGAUUGGGUCAUCCUUCUUUGUCUACCAUGAAGAAGCUGUGUCCUCAAUUUCAGUCUUUAUCAGUACUAGAAUGUGAGUCGUGUCAGUUUGCAAAAUAUCAUCGUUUGCCUUCUGUGUCUAGAGUCAAUAAACGGGCUUCAUCCCUUUUUGAGUUAGUUCAUUCUGAUGUUUGGUGUCCUUGUUCUAUUAUAUCUAAAACUGGAUUUCGUUAUUUUGUUACUUUUGUUGAUGAUUACUCUCGUGUUACCUGGUUAUAUUUAAUGAAGAAUCGUUCUGAGUUGUUUUCUA